rnacentral:rRNA from 1 species
GACGAACGCUGGCGGCGUGCUUAACACAUGCAAGUCGAACGAUGACGCCCGAGCUUGCUCGGUCUGAUUAGUGGCGAACGGGUGAGUAACACGUGAGCAACCUGCCCUUCACUCUGGGAUAACCUCGGGAAAUCGGGGCUAAUACCGGAUAUGAGCUCCUGUCGCAUGGGGGGUGUUGGAAAGUUUUUCGGUGUAGGAUGGGCUCGCGGCCUACCAGUUUGUUGGUGAGGUAGUGGCUCACCAAGGCGAUGACGGGUAGCCGGCCUGAGAGGGCGACCGGCCACACUGGGACUGAGACACGGCCCAGACUCCUACGGGAGGCAGCAGUGGGGAAUAUUGCACAAUGGGCGAAAGCCUGAUGCAGCGACGCCGCGUGAGGGAUGACGGCCUUCGGGUUGUAAACCUCUUUCAGCAGGGAAGAAGCGAAAGUGACGGUACCUGCAGAAGAAGCGCCGGCUAACUACGUG